GACAGAGGGGGCAAGCGUUGCUCGGAAUUACUGGGCGUAAAGGGCGCGUAGGCGGGAUGGCAAGUCGGUCGUGAAAUCCCUCGGCUCAACUGAGGAACGUCGAUCGAUACUGCCGUUCUUGAGGGUUGCAGAGGAGACUGGAAUUCCCGGUGUAGCGGUGAAAUGUGUAGAGAUCAUGAGGAAGACCAGUGGCGAAGGCGGGUCUCUGGACAGUUCCUGACACUGAGGCACGAAGGCCAGGGGAGCAAACGGG
rnacentral:rRNA from 1 species